UACAGAGGGGGCAAGCGUUGUUCGGAAUUACUGGGCGUAAAGGGCGCGUAGGCGGCCUGCUAAGUCGAACGUGAAAUCCCUGGGCUCAACCCAGGAACUGCGUCCGAUACUGGUUGGCUUGAAUCCGGGAGAGGGAUGUGGAAUUCCAGGUGUAGCGGUGAAAUGCGUAGAUAUCUGGAGGAACACCGGUGGCGAAGGCGGCAUCCUGGACCGGCAUUGACGCUGAGGCGCGAAAGCCAGGGGAGCAAACGGGAUUAGAAACCCCCGUAGUCC
rnacentral:rRNA from 1 species